rnacentral:rRNA from 1 species
GAUGAACGCUGGCGGCGUGCCUAAUACAUGCAAGUCGAGCGAACGGACGAGAAGCUUGCUUCUCUGAUGUUAGCGGCGGACGGGUGAGUAACACGUGGAUAACCUACCUAUAAGACUGGGAUAACUUCGGGAAACUGGAGCUAAUACCGGAUGAUAUUUUGAACCGCAUGGUUCAAAAGUGAAAGACGGUCUUGCUGUUACUUAUAGAUGGAUCCGCGCUGCAUUAGCUAGUUGGUAAGGUAACGGCUUACCAAGGCAACGAUGCAUAGCCGACCUGAGAGGGUGAUCGGCCACACUGGAACUGAGACACGGUCCAGACUCCUACGGGAGGCAGCAGUAGGGAAUCUUCCGCAAUGGGCGAAAGCCUGACGGAGCACCGCCGCGUGAGUGAUGAAGGUCUUCGGAUCGUAAAACUCUGUUAUUAGGGAAGAACAUAUGUGUAAGUAACUGUGCACAUCUUGACGGUACCUAAUCAGAAAGCCACGGCUAACUACGUG